rnacentral:snRNA from 1 species
UUGCUUUGGCAGCACAUAUACUAAAAUUGGAGUGAUACAGAGAAGAUUAGCAUGGCCCCUGCGCAAGGAGGACAUGCAAAUUCGUGAAGCGUUCCAUAUUUUU